CUUACCUCCAUGGGGAAGCUGACGUGGUUUCUUUCGUUGAAGCUACCUCACGGGACCAAGGGCACCGCGCCUGCCGCCCGCACCGUGUUCGACCUUAUGGCGCUGAAGCACAUGCAUUGCUUUGCUGAGAGCACUUUCGAUCGCCGUGACGGGGUUCGAGGCCGCAGAGGCGAGUGUCGUGUAUGGCUAGAUGCUGAGUUCAGGGUCAACGAGUUGUUGUCGCCUGCGAUGGAUGGAUGAAAGAGUGAGAUUGGCAGCUGCUCCUGCUCAGGAAGCACACGGAUGCUGACUGACGAACCAACGCAUGGUGAAGUACAUUUCAGACGCGCAAAGCCGCAGACGGAUCAACUUAUCCAUCUUCUUCAGAGUCUUCUGUCUCCAUUAGCUUGCAAGUUGCAGUUGGAAGGGUGAAUCGAGAAUACCAACCAAGCUAGCCAUCAGCCCUGGCGAACCCGGUUGCUUCCUUGACACUCGCAGCCUCUGACAUGACACUGGUUGGUAAUGGCGAUAGAGACUCCACAGCACAUUGUCGUUUCGUCAAGCAGCUGUGCCUCUGCAGUCUGCACCAUGCAGAGUGCUAAUCUUCUGAUAAUAGCAUGGAGUCAACGACUGAUCAUGCGAGCAAAAGCGCUUUUGCCGACAGAUUAUCUGAAAGGAGAUGUGCUUUUCGAUCUCCUAACUGAAAAGGGCAUCCAGUCCCAGCUGAUUGGCUGCUUAGUCUGCAAAGAUAAGUGCUGCUGCCUACGUACUGCAUGGGGGAUGGUGUGGCUGAUUUGCUGAAGCACAUGGUUAGCCGUGCAAAUUUACAACUUGCGUGCCAUUGCAGCUAGAAUCCCAACUCCCGUGGGUGUGAGCAAGUGAGAAACGUGCAAGCAAAAGGGAGAACGUUAUGGAUGCACAAGUCAAAGCCAGCUCAAUAAGGAGCCAGUACUAAAUUGUUUGAAUGCAGAACAAAGUCAAUCUUGGACCAAUGAUGCAACCAUUACACCAACAGCACAUCAUUGUCUUCAUGCUACCGACCGAUGAGUAGUUGGGAACAUCAGUCAUCUACUGCCCCUUCCAAUUCUUCUCCGAACCUCUGUUCAUAUGCAUACAAAGCUCUUUACAGUUGUGGUUUAACAGCUGAAUGAUCAAUCAAAUGACUGGAAAAUUGCUGAUUGCAGCUGGCUCACCUGAAGGAACAGCAUGUUUGCAAUGUAGGGGAUUCACAGGAUUCAGCUCUAAACCAAAAAGGUGGGCGUGGUUGUGCAUCAUUAGGAUUGCGAUGCCGCUUUCGGAUAACAGGACAACUGUAUGUCUCUAUCUGAUUGGACUUGCUCUCCCCAUGGAAUCCCUGGUACGUGCAGUUGAACCGAAGGAAGCAAAGUAAAGUGUGAGCUGGUGCGACCCAUGCAUGCUGCUGCUGCAUUGCUGCCUGUCAUAGCAUGGGGAUGGACACAACUGUUCUGGUGGUUACUGUAAGUUUUUCUCUCUCUCUCACCUUUCUUGCUUCCCGUGGUCUCUUGAGAUUCAAUUCUGUCACUGUCACUCCAAUGCAAAAGUCACUUUCCCACUACCUUAUAAUUGAAAUGCCACUAGUGGGUCUGGCUCACUUGGUUAUUGAUUUCUUUUUCCUCAUGCACGUCAGAGAUUGUUUCAUCACAGUACAGUUAUGUGUACUGUCUUCAGUUAUGUGAGAUACUAGAAGUAUGUCGUCGUGGUUCAUUGUAUGCCGUAAGCACAGCCACACACUUAGCCUGCUUGAAUUCCUUUGUUUUCGGUUAGAUGGCCAAUUGGCCAUCAGUAUCU